AUCCAGAUGCCACGUCCUGAGCUGCUGCCCUCUGCUACCCCACCCUCCCACCAGGAUGUCCUGCCUCCCCUCGGGCCCAGAGCAGUGGAGCUGGCCAGCUAUGGACUGAGACCUCUGAAAGUGUGAGCCCCAAAGAAACUGCUCCUCCUCUAAAAUUGUUCUCACUGGGUCUGCUUUUUUCCCCAUUGGGUCUUUUGAUCACAGUGGCAAAAUGGGGGAGAAGAAGAACCAGGCGUUGCCUCUGACAUCCUCCCUGCCAACGCUAAGUCAGGAGGAAGCAGCAGGUAAGUGUGAAUUGCUGGACGUUCCACAAAGUGACCCUGUUCUUCAGACAGUAUCAGGUCAUGAAGGAGGGGGAAACCUGAGGACUCGUUCCCAAAUGAAGAGAAAUUAUAAGGAUUUAAUGGGCCUGUCCCUGUCCGUGAUAUUGUUAGGACCACAGAGAACAUUUGAAUGAUGUUCGUGAAUUAUAUGGUGAAGUUGGAUGAAUAUUUGUCUGACUUGUUAAUUGAUCAUGUUAAGUGAUAAUGUUAACUGAUGGUCCUGUUGUGUAAGAGAAUGUCCUUGUUUAUAGGAAUUAAGCAGUGAGUGUGUGUGUGUGUGUGUGUGUGUGAGAGAGAGAGAGAGAGAGAGAGAGAGAUGUGAUAACAUGGUGUCAGUUGGUAAUCUAGGUGAUUACCAGUACUUGGAGUACUGGAGUUCUUGGAAAAAAGUGAGAGCUCAAAAUUCGAUUUUUUUUCUAUAAAAUUUAAAUGUCAGAAUAAAAAAUAUAAAAACGAAAAGAAACAGACCUACUAUGGGGCUCUGUGUACAUGGACACAGUGAGUCCAACUGAGCAGGUCAAUUAAAACCAGGCCCAGGGUCUGUGGAAUGCCAGGUGUUUAGUGCUCCACUCGCCCCCGGGCCGGCCCUCAGCUUGCUCAGGAGGGCACAAGGAGACAGGGCAGGGUGGGAAAUGGAGGGGCUGCUGGAUCCAUGAUACAGGAACCAAAGGAGCCAGAAGGCUGCAGGGAGGAGGUGAUGUUUGGAGAGAGGCCUUGAUGAGUUGGGCAGGAGACCGUUGCCAGUCCAUCUGUAUGUCCUCCCUGGGGCUUGGCAUCUUGUAUCCCCAGUGUCAGGCCACAGUGGGGGCUCAAUAAUUGUUAGAAUAACCAAACUAGCCUCAGACUUUCCCAAACCCCGUUUCUUCCCUCUUUCCUCCUAGGCUAACUAAAGACUUUCUCUGUCCAUGGAAAACUCUCCAUGGACUUUGCAGUUUGAAGUCCCACGAAUCCACAUUUUGGGAAAGAUUUUCAUCUCUUCCUUGAGACCAUCAGAAGCCGGAGGGAGAGACUCACUAGCCUGUCUCGCACAUUCGUAGUAGUGACAAGAUCUGCCAUACCAUCAGCUAAAAGGAUUGAUUAAGGGUUCAGAGAUGCAGAAAUCCCUGAACUACUCUUUGGGGUUAUGAUGGGGGUGAGGGCACCGUAAUAACUACAGCUGAUUGUGGGAACCGACAAGAUGAUGUUAACCACCAGUGCUCAGGGCCUUCUUACACCAAAGCAGGGUGUUUACGCAAGGCCAGCUUCCUCCCACCCACAGUAUUGCUAUAAUGAUAAUUUUAGCAUUUGCCAACAUUCCUAUAAGCAGCUUUCAUCAGGGCUCCAUAAGCACCCAACAAAUGUCCCUAAAUGUGUACACAGGUGCCACCUGGCCUAUCUGUGGCAUGAAGCAGCAUUUGGGGGCAGAAGGCAGCUGUGACCUCUGAGGCAGCCAGCUUGGGCCCUGGACUGAUACAGAGGCUCCAGUUACACAGCCAAAUGCCUCCCCACUUCUCCGUGUAAUCGCAGUUAGACACUUGAAAGAACUUCUUUUGUGAGUCCAUUUAUUUCCCAAAACUCUUAUGGAUGCCGCGCAUGAGAUUGCGUCUUUUUGGAGCAGUAAGCACCGACCUGCUGAAGAACCACAAGGGACUUCUCAGUAGCAGAGCUUCUCCUUGCUGUAGAGAAUGAACAGUGAGGCAGCUGCCCUUGGCCUCCGUCCUCCCAGUUCCAAGCAUUUGUUCACACCAAGUGUGGAUUCACCCUCAGGGAGCACCCCCCUCACCUCGCAGGCAAGGUGGCGACAGCUGGGACAGUUUGCAACACGGGAUUAUUUUAAGGCAUCUGAAAAGUGGGUGAAAACAAACUCAAGUGAAAAUUUCUUUUAAAAAACCCAAAAACUUAGAAAUAGCAUUCAAGGCCUGCAAAACCACUGACUCCUCCAAAACCUAGAAUUUUCCUUGAUGCCUCAAAGCAUUUUCAAGAUUCUGUCCUGAAAACCAUGCUGAAGGCCAUCCUCAAUGUAGAAUAACGUGAGUCUCCUGUUUCCGCCCACUUUUACAGAAUGACAUGUGACCCUUGGCAGGCAGGACAGCAAAAAGAUCCAUGUAAUUACAGUUUCUGGUUUCACACUGAAAUGGCCCAACUAAAAAGUCCUCAGCAGAUGUUGCAUAAUUUCGAGACAUGUAUUUAGUAGUAAAUAUCAGCUUGAUUCCAUAGCUGGUUGAUGUGGCCUUAAAGUGAAUUAAGAAACAGCACAGCUUUCAUUCCUGCACUUAACAGAGGGCAGCACAUUUCUUUAUCUUACGCAGUGCCACAUAGCCGUGCCGUUUCAACUGGUUGGGCCAAAGUAAAUGGAGAAGCCGGGCACUACUGCUGCUCUAUGGUCGGGGCAGUUCACGUCAGCCCGGCCUGGACUGGCCACAGGAGAUGGCGGUGCGAUUGUCCUCUACUCUCAACGAGGAAAGGGAAACCCAGAGAAGAUGCACGACAGCUGGGCUUAGAGCGUGGUUCUCAUGGUCCUAAAUUUAGCCCAUCAAGUCAUGACAUCUCUUCUGCUAGGGGAUUAUAGUUUUUAAAAAGACUGCUCAUGCAGCAAAUCAUUAUGAUAAACAAUCUAAUAAUUCAGGAGGAAGGAACUAGAAAACCAGGGCUAGCAACAAGUGUGUGACAGCUUGAUUUUUCACCAGCUGUAUUCCUUGGUCCCCAGCCAAAAUGCCAUCUGACCUUUAAGCUGGCCAAGCACGUGGAUUGUUUUCUUUUUUUCUUAUCAGUCCUCAGAACUAAACAAUUGCUGAGAUAUUUUAGAGAUGCAGAAUUUCAUUAGGGAGAGGAGAGGAUGAAGAAAAUAAAGAUGCCACAUGCAUCCAUACUACAAUCGAGUAUUUGUUGGACAUUUAAUUAUGAGCUUGUCCCUGUAGAUAGAUUCUGUGGAGAAGACAAGGUUAUUUUUCUGCCUAGCUGUGGAGCAUGUGAAUACAUAAGACACAGGCCCAUGGGUCCAAUCCUGUCCACCACCUGUUCUUGUGUAGUUCAUGGGCUAAGGAUGGUUUAUUUUAAAUGGUUAAAAAAUCAAAAGAAUGACAGCGUUUUGUAACAUGUGAGAAUUAUAUGAAAUCCAAAUUUCAAUGUCCUAAAUACGGUAUUGUUGGAGCACAGUUACGCUCACUGAUUCAUGCACAGUCUAUGGCCAUGUUCAUGCUACAGUGGGCAGCUGAGCUGAAUGGCCUUGACAGAGACCAUAUGCACCACAGAAACAGAAAUAUUUACUGUUUGGUCCCUCGUGGAAAAGUUUGAGGACCCCUGAGUUAGAUGAUACUCUAAUGUCACGGUCAGGGGUGGUCUAGAACUAGUUGGGAAUCAGAGGACUUCCAAGAAGGGAGAAUUGAGGUAGAAGAAAGUACAUCCAAAUGGACCUUGAAAGAUAAGACAUUGGGCAUCAUGGUUAUUGUGAAAGGCCAGCAGAUGUGGCCUGCCAGUGUGACGCCAUCACUGAGAGCAGAGUGACCUUGCCAAGUUCUUUAACUUUUCUGUAUCUCAGUUUUCUCAACUAUUAAAUGGAUUGAUAAUACCUGCUUCCCAGGGCUGUUGUAAAGCCACAAUAGGGUGUCAUAUGCAAAGCAGCACAUUGCCUGGCCUGGAGCCCGUGUCUCUGAAACAUUAGCCGUCAAUAAGAGCGAUGGCCACUGUUUCUCACACUGGCACAUCUAUUAAUAAAACUAAGUCAACAUUUUGCUUAAAAAGGUAAGCCUCUGAGAGGUCAUAAGUGAGGAAGCUUUAAAAUCUUCUAUGAUGAAGUUGAGCAAUUGAAUUCUAUGGAAGUUGUUAAAAAUGGUGUCAUCGAAGAACCACACAGGAAAACAUUCAUAGUGUGCUCUGUAAAAAUGAAAGAAAAACAAAACCAGGUUAUGAAAUACUUCACUUAGUAUAAGAUAGUUGGAGUAAAGGGGAAAGGAUGCUCUUAGACAUUAUUAUUUUGCAACAUAGUAUCUCAGCAUGGUAGUUUAGUUUCACCAGCCCAGAAAUUCUGUUUUGUCAUUGCAUUUGAAAUCAUAUGAGAAACUGGUGAAAGCUACUGACCCCUCUCCUUGAUAAAUGUGCACUGCACACAUACACACACACACACACACACACCCAUUUGCAUACAAUCUCACGACUUAAUGGAGUCCUUGAAUCCCAAUCUUGGUUUCUAGGUUAAGAACGCCUGUGCUGGUUACUCACUCAUAAAACCCAUAAGAUAUCGACACAUGAACUAGAAUGCCAUAUUACUAAUUUAUGAAGAAGAAAUAAUGUCAAGUGGACUAAAACCCUUCCAUUGGCUGACCAGCUCAUUAUCUUGCUAUGCAAAAAUGAGACAGAUAGCCAAAGUGCGUAUAUAGUCACAGCACAGGGAAUUCGAGAAUGGUCUUAAUGGCUCUUGUCGCCAAACUGGGAUCGUCUGAUGUGUCUGUUUCUGCUGGAGAAGUAACCCUGCCAAUGACGCUGGGACAGCCAGUACAGGCUUCUCCUGGGGACAAUGCCCGACACCUGCAUUCUCUGCUUGCAGAAACAGCGAAGGCUGAGCUACAGAUGCCACUCUUGCCAAAGAAAGGUGCCGUUCCUGCAGCUAGACCCCUCUUGAGGCAUGCUGAUUUCCCCACGCUACACCUGGUCUCCUCCAUUAGGAAAUGUCACUCAUGUGAAGGUGGGGUUUUUUGUGCAUGUGUGUAUAUAGGUUGGUUUUAUUUCCCUUUCAGAGGUGACCCUCAAUCUCAAAUUUCAGAGGUACUUUACUGCUGUGAUUCAGGUGUGGAAUGUCCCCCAAUGUCCACGGGUUGAAGACUUGACCCCAGGGUGGUGCUGUCAGGAG
rnacentral:lncRNA from 1 species